AUAUGGCUUUGGGGGUAUUCUGUAUAGAAUUGAGAUAGUCCCUUCGAACCUGAUUCGGUUUAUACCGGCGUAGGGAAAAGCAACCGCUUAGGU
rfam:Sphingobacterium sp. CZ-TAM QB.A_0, whole genome shotgun sequence.